rnacentral:lncRNA from 1 species
GUAAAUUGAUUUCCUCUGCGCUGUAAUGCUCAUGAAAUAUGAAGAGUCUUGGUCCAGGGCAUCUCCCCAUAGUACCUGGGGUGUUCUGAGCACACAGGGCACUCUCCACACAUAAGGUGGUGCCAACAGCUGCCGGACACAGGAGAGGCAGCCCAGGCUACUGCAGUCACAUGGUAAUGUCACGUGCCAUAAACACAUAAGAAAGCCAGGGGAUGCUCCCAGGAAGUUGCAGGGUAUCAGCCAGAGUCCCAGAAGGAAGAUGGCAUUCCCAAAGGGUUUAGCUGAAGGGAUUUUAAUGAGGGGAUGAUUUAUAGAGAGGUGGGCAGAUUUCACAGAACCACAAAAGAUGGUGAGAUACCCAGGAACCUCACCAUCCUGGGACUGUGUAUUCAUAGGUUUGUCACCAAAUUUUUGCUAAAACUCAAGGUGCAUAUUAUUGGGGUGCUAUUUGGCAUAGAAAACAUUUGUCCAGGAAAUUUUCUAAUAUCAUGUCAAGUUAAACAUAAUUCAUUGCAAAUAAGAGGUACAAGGCAUAGUAUAAUAGCAAGCUAGCACAAACAAAAUUUGUAGACUUGCUAAAACAUGGGAGAACAGCGUAGGCCAGAAUAACAGUGAUUAAGAGUUCAGGCUCUGGUGCUGGAGUCCCUGGGUUCAAAUCCUUACUAGCUAUGGGAUCAUAAGUGAAUUUACUCAUGUGUAAAAUAGAGGUAAUAUUACUUAUCCCAUAAAUUGUUAUGAGGAUUAAAGGAUUAAAUGCAAUAUUUGUAAGAUGCUUAGAACUUUACUGGCACAUAAAUACUAGCAUUAUCUACAAAAUUAUACUACCCUUCCUCCGUUCACUCAAUAAAUAUAUAGUCAGGAGCCACAUAACAAUGUUUCAGUGAAUGAGGGACCACAUAUACAAUGGUGAUUUCUUAAGAUUAUAGUAUCAUAUUUUUAUGUAUCUUUUCUAUGUUUAGAUGUGCUUAGAUACACAAAUACUACUAUGUUACAAUUGCCCACAUUAUUCAGUACAGUAACGUACUAUAGGUGUUUGUAGCCUAGGAACCAUAGGCUAGACCAGAUAGUCUAGGUGUGUAGCAGGCUACACCAUUUAGGUUUGUGUAAGUAUACUCUGAUGCUCUCAUUACGAAACUGCCUAACAAUGCAUUCUUUAGUAGGUAUCCCCGUUGUUAAGUCACACAUGACUGUGUAUUAAAUAUUUACUAUAGGCAUCAUCCUAGGCUCUGGGGAAAGUGGUAAGAAAAAAAAGACUACCUUUCCUGAUGGACUGGGAAGAAAACAUUAACUAAUAAUCACACACAGAAAUAAAAUCAAAACCAUGAGUGGUGGUGCUUGGAGCCAUAAGAGCUGGUAAUGACUAUACAGGGGUAGGCCUUCUUGAGGAAGUGACAUUUACCUAUGACCUAGAUGAGUUUACUAGGGAAAGUUCAUUAGGUAAAGAUGAGAGGGGGAAAAAUACCAGGCAGAGGAAGCACUAUGUCCUCUGUGGCAGAAAGGAUCAUGGCAGGCAUAUUAGUCAGGACCCAGCCAGGAAAGCAAAACCCACUCUAGGUGAUUUGAUAGAGGGAAUUUCAUACGGGGAGUCAGAGGAGUUGAAAGAGCUCCCAGGGGAACCCUGAGAGUAGCAACUCCAGGAAGCUGGGACUACUGUAUUUGUUUGCUAGGGCUGCAGUAACAAAGUGCCACAGACUGGGUGGCUUCACACAGAAAGUUAUUGUCUCAGAGUUCUGAAGGCUGGAAGUCCAAAAUCAAGGUGUCAGAAGGGGUAGUUCCUUUUGAGGCCUAUGAGGGAAGGAUCUGUUCCACGCCUCUUUCCUUGACUUGUAGAUGACCAUUUUCACCUAUGUCUCUUCACAUCGUCUUCCCUCUGUGUGUGUCUAUCUCUGUCCAAACUUCCCCUUUUUAUAAGGACAACAUUCAUAUUGGAUUAGGGUCCACCCUAAUGACCUCACUUUAAUUCGGCUACUCUAUAAAGACCACAACCCUAAAUAAGGUCACACUCUAAAGUACUGGGGGUUAGAACUUCAACACAUGAACUUGCAGGGGAGACACAAUUCAACCCAUAGCACCACCCUGGAAGCUGGAGAACAAGGAAAGAAACAGUUUCUGGAGCCUAAGACAAGAUAAGCUGGAACAAAGAGGGCCUGCCAAGAUGGGUAGCAGGGAUCACACAGAGAUGGCUGUGUAGUGGGAACUGCAGCCACAGAAGAGACUCCUGAGAAAGAGAAGCAGGAGAAGUACUCUGGCUUCUCCUUCCUUCACCUCCAAUAUCUUUUGCCCUCCCUCACUCCCCAUUGGCUGAACUUUACUGGAAGGCAGUUGGCUCUGGAGCCUGGAACAGCCCCCAGUGACACAGAGCAGAUCGGGGGACCACGGGAUGGGAAGGGUGGACAUGGCUCUGACAGCAACAAUGUAACACCCAUGCAACGAGUCUGCGAGGCCGAAUGGAAGCCAGCUGGCUGCAGGGGAGAGAGCAAGAGAGUCUGGCAGAAGGUGCACCUGGAGAAGGAAGUAGAGGCCAGGCCAGCAUAUGCUUACAAAAUUUGAAGACCACAACCACUCUCCAAAUACAAAUGCAGCAAGUGAUUUGAAGAUCAUAGAAAUGAUAAUACAGGCAAAAAAUGCAAGAAAUCUCCCCUGCCAAAUUAUUCAACUAUGUAUGACUUCUGCCUUUUCACAGCGCCAAUUUGCCAUGCUAUGCGUUUCAUCUUUGCAUCAUUUUCAAUACUGGAUGUAUAAAUUGUGUAAAGACUUUCAGAGUUCUAAUUCAUUUUAUGCAUUUUUUGCAAAUUUGAUUCCAUGAAAGUGCAUUAUCACAUCAUCGACUGUGUGUAAUCAUUGUGUGUGCAUAUAAAAAUGAAGAGAUAAAUGAAGAGAUGUUCGUUUUAUACAUCUGCAUUUGUAAAAUAUAAAAUUUCUUAAGAUCUUGGCUGUUUGGGAGACUGCGUAUGUAGUGGUGACCUAUCAUGGUUUUUGAUCAAUCUUGUCAAAAGACUUAGCUUGUCUGUCAUGGCAUUUCAGAUGAGUGAAUUUCAGAUGUUAUAAAGCUGGGUGCACACAAUUGCCAACCACAGUGAUAUAUAUUUAUACAUUUUGCUUUUUGACAUACUUCUUUAUGAGUAUGGUUUGUCUGCUCAUAAUUUUUAUACUCUUGCAACUGUUGUUAGUAUACCUGAGUGCUUAUGUUUGCAAAUGUAUGUAUGUUAUUAAUGCCUAUUUUGUUGUAUACAAUGGCCUAUGAAGUGUUCUGUUGUGUUUUUAUGUUUAUCAAAUAAAUUCCCCUUUAAAAAUGUGAACACAUGUCUUUACAUUUUUUAAAUUAUUUUUUCCAGAAUUGUAUUUUUGGAAUUUUAGACUUCAAGGAUUUUGAUCUUUUGGGACUUCAACAUCUGGGAUGACAGCAUUUAGGAUUGUGUUUUUCAGGAUUAUGGCUCAAACUCAUCAACAGGGAUGGAGGCUGACAGGUCGAGCCUCCAGUGUCUGGAACAUCACCACUUGCUGUACCAUUCGGUGAGUAUAGAAUUUUGUCCCAUCGUCAGUCAAUAAAAGAGGAGAGUUGAGUGGCAGCAACUGCUUAGAGUAUCAAGCUUCCAUUCACAUGUCACUGGUCAAAGCAAGUCACAUGUCUACUCAGUGAAGUGCAAUCCUACCAUGUAAGCAGAGAAAGGAGAACUGGAGUAUUUGCAAUGGCCUUAAUGACUCCAGUGCUAAUGCUCUCUGUAUGUGUUUAUUAGCCAUUUUUGUUUCUUCCUAUUAAAUUACAUUCAUGACUUUUUGCCCUUCUUUCUACUGUGUUGUCUUUUUCAUGUUAAUUCAGAGAGAUAUUUUAUAUAUUUGAAAUACUAAUCCUUGAUGUUAUGUUUGUUUCAAAUAUCUUCUCUCAGUUUAUUUUUUUACUCUCGUAAUUACAUGUUAUAAUGAACAAAAGUUUAAAAUUUCAUGUAUUCUAAUGUAUGAAUAUUUUAUACUGGUUUUUUGAGCAUUUUGUUACUUAUUAUAAUUUUUCUUACUCGAGUCAUGCAAAUAGUCUAUAUUUUUAAUAACAUUUUA